rnacentral:rRNA from 1 species
GCCAGACUCCUACGGGAGGCAGCAGUGAGGAAUAUUGGUCAAUGGGCGGAAGCCUGAACCAGCCAAGUCGCGUGAGGGAAUAAGGCCCUACGGGUCGUAAACCUCUUUUGCCGGGGAGCAAGGGCCGGGACGCGUCCCGGCCCGGAGAGUACCCGGAGAAAAAGCAUCGGCUAACUCCGUGCCAGCAGCCGCGGUAAUACGGAGGAUGCGAGCGUUAUCCGGAAUUACUGGGCGUAAAGAGAGCGUAGGCGGCACUACAAGUCUCAUGUGAAAUACCCGGGCUUAACUUGGGGGUUGCAUGGGAAACUGUAGAGCUUGAGUACAGGAGAGGCAAGCGGAAUUCCUAGUGUAGCGGUGAAAUGCAUAGAUAUUAGGAGGAACACCAGUGGCGAAGGCGGCUUGCUGGACUGAAACUGACGCUGAGGCUCGAAAGCGUGGGGAGCAAACAGGAUUAGAUACCCCUGUA